ACGUGGCAACGCGUAGCUAAGCAACGCGCCUCACAAACAAACACGCAGCAAGGCAAACAAGCAAAUCUCGCCAUACCAGCAUAGCAGCUGAUGUUUUUAGAAUUGUUGACUGGGUAUGUACCGAAUAAUAAAGACACAGCCAACAACCAAAACGAC